UACGUAGGAGGCGAACGUUAUCCGGAUUUACUGGGCGUAAAGCGCGUGUAGGUGGUUUGGUAAGUAGGGCGUGAAAGCUCCUGGCUCAACUGGGAGAGGCCGUUCUAAACUGCCGAACUAGAGGAUGGUAGAGGGAGGUGGAAUUCCGGGUGUAGCGGUGGAAUGCGCAGAUAUCCGGAGGAACACCAGUGGCGAAAGCGGCCUCCUGGACCAUUCCUGACACUCAGACGCGAAAGCUAGGGUAGCAAACGGG
rnacentral:rRNA from 1 species